AUAGCUAUACUGAUUUCAAAGCAGUAAAAAGCUUAGAGCAGUGAUUCUUAACUUGUGGAUGGAGACCCCCCACAGGGGUCAAUCGGGUAUCCUGCUUAUCAGAUACUAACAUUACGACUCAUCACAGUAGCAAAAUGAGUUAUGGUUAAGGUCACCACAACAUGAGGAGCUGUAUGAAAGGGUCCCAGCAUUAGGAAGGUUGGGGACCACUGGCUGAGGGCUCAGUUGUUUGUGGGUUCGUUUUCCUUUUGGCGAAAUCCCUAGCACCACCCUAGCUGUCCUCAGCCUGGGAGAGCUUUCCGUCUGCCCAGCUUCGCUGUUACCUCCCAGAGCUGUGUUGGAUCUCAUCAGCUUGAGGACGUUUCACCAUCUAGCCUGUCUCCUAUCAGUACACAUUCAACAGAUUCCAGUUUUUUAUAAUGAAAACAUUGCAAUGAACAUACAUCUUGCUCACACAUGCAAAUAUUUCGCCAUGAUACGUGUUAGAAUUUGGUUGGUUAAAAUUUAUGUGAAUUUAUUAAAGUAUUGCUUUGUCUUAUGGGAAAUCUGAAUCAACCUAUUCUCCCAGCCAUCGAUGGCCAGGGCAGCCCAUGCCCUUGUCAGCACAGAAUCGGCAGUGUUUCUAACCUUUAACAAUCGACUAGGCAGAAAUAAAUAUUAAAGCACUUUCUAUCCAGCUGCUGUGCGCUUAUUUUUCCUUGUGAACACCCUGCUGAUACCAGCCUUUACUCAGGUUUACUUUUAUAUUGUUCAUAUUUUUCAAUUAUAAAUUUAUAAAAUCUAAGUGUUAUUACUAAUGAAAUCAACCCUUUGACUUUAUGACUUUCUGGUAUGUUUUGCCGUACAGAUAUUUUUCUUUGUAGGAACUGAUUUCAUAGGAUCUUCCUCCCUGUAAAAAAUGACAAAUGGCAUCUCGGCUCGGCUCAGCUCAGCUAGUCUGCAGCCCCGGCUCUCUCUGAUCAUGACACCAGCUCAUCCUCCCACGAGAAAAACUGCUGCCCUCAGGAGGACAGAUUCCAAACCUCUGAAUCUGUAACAAAAGCUUUCAAAGACCAGCAUGAGGAGCCCGAGUUUGACCUCAUGGGCAGGCAUUCCCAGCCUUUUGACAUUGGGACAUGACAUCAUGGUCUACAGAGUUCAUACACACACAGAGCACCAUGCAAUAUAGAUACAAGACAUAUCCUGGGUUUUAAGUUUGCAGUUUCGUGUUGUGUGGCGUUCAAGACGUGUUGAAGAACAUGCAGUUUCUCCAGGGUUCCGUAUUCAGCUUACAUCCGAUUCACGUUUUCCUGUAUUGGAUCACCUACCUCAGGAAUUAAUCAGCUCCUGUUCAAAGUCAGCAGGGAGCUUCUGACAGAUCUAUUCCCACCUUAACGAUUAGCCCUGGGCUUUAUAAGCAUAGGUCAUGCGGGGCUCUGGCCCUAUUAAAAUUUCUUCCAUUUAUUUCAAGGGGAGAGACAAUCUCUCCUCCAUUCACGUGACUUCUUGAUGUGACAGGUGAUAAUUCUACCCAAUUUACCAUGUCAGUAAAAUGUCAUUUCUUG
rnacentral:lncRNA from 1 species